UACGAAGGUCCCGAGCGUUAUCCGGAUUUAUUGGGUUUAAAGGGUGCGUAGGCGGGUUAUUAAGUCAGUGGUGAAAGCCUGCAGCUUAACUGCAGAAUUGCCAUUGAUACUGAUGAUCUUGAGUAUGAUUGAGGUGGGCGGAAUGUGUCAUGUAGCGGUGAAAUGCUUAGAUAUGACACAGAACACCGAUUGCGAAGGCAGCUCACUAAGUCAUAACUGACGCUGUUGCACGAAAGCGUGGGGAGCAAACAGG
rnacentral:rRNA from 1 species